rnacentral:rRNA from 1 species
GACGAACGCUGGCGGCGUGCCUAAUACAUGCAAGUCGAACGAAGUGGCGAACGGGUGAGUAACGCGUAAUCAACCUGCCCUUCAGAGGGGGACAACAGUUGGAAACGCCUGCUAAUACCGCAUACUGAAGGAGGGGAUUGCGUCUGAUUAGCUAGUUGGAGGGGUAACGGCCCAACAAGGCGAUGAUCAGUAUCCGGUCUGAGAGGAUGAACGGCCACAUGGGGACUGGUACACGGCCCAGACGCCGACGGGAGGCAGCAGUGGGGAAUCUUCCGCAAUGGACGAAAGUCUGACGGAGCAACGCGGCGUGAGUGAUGACGGCCUUCGGGUUGUAAAGCUCUGUUAAUCGGGACGCGGUACCGGAAUAGAAAGCCACGGCUAACUACGUGCCAGCAGCCGCGGUAAUUC